GGGUCCGGACCUUUUUGUGUCAGACUACCCAAUGCGGAAGAGCAGCCCUCCCCUCCCUCUUCCUGAUACUGAUGUGUCGGGUACAAGAGGAAAGCAUCCUUCCACCCCACAGCUGGGUGUUCCCCCGCUGCCCUCUGCUGACCUGUGACCUCUUCGACUUCUGGUUUAGCAAGAAUGGAAAGCAGCCUUCUGACAUUUGGCAGAUCCAGUUUUCAAUGUAUUGGAAGGUUGCCAUCAGCUGCAAAGCAUAUGUGGUAGAUGGGAUGCGUAGUAGUCUUUCUAAUCCCUCUGGGGACUGAGAUCUGAAUUACACUCCAGUCUGGACAUGUGGCUUCAGUGCUGGAGCAGAAGCUCUGCAAGAGAGCAGUGAGAAAGCUAACCAUGUUUUCCUGAGAAAUUCGCAUGUAUGGAAUCCAGUGAGAGAGUUUUGAUGGCAACACUACUCACAACAAACUGUUAAUUAGCAGUGAUAAAAUGGCACAGCUCAGUCAGGAGCUGAACUGCAGGCUGGCUGCCAGGCCCUGGGUGAAAGGGGUGCAUCUGUGUGAGUAGGGAGAGGGAUUGGGACCUUGAUCCCCAGUCCAGGCACUGGCAACAUGAAUUCAACCAGUGGAAAGCAGCGAUCAUACAGUCCUUGGAAAAAUCAAGCAUCUUCCCACCUUUCAGUCUGUUUAUAAGAUGUCUUUCACAUAGUCAUUUUAUUCUCGAUACAUGUAUGAAUAAUUUAGUUCUGUAAAUGUACCUUAAAUGUCAAUAAACAUAAAAUCUCACUCAAUUGCCAAAAGCUGGUUCCUAGAAUAUUAUUUUUAACCAGCUUUCUAUAUCCCCACCUUCAAAAAGUACUCUGUUCUUGUCUACUUAAAUAUGUUGCCAUGGAGGAAGUUAAGUCCAUUUUCUGUAUUACAACAAGAAGUAAAGUUUAAAUUUUAAAAAGAUCUCAGUUUUCAUCUGAAAAUAUUCCCAUGCUAUUGUGUCCCCACCCUUCCCCAGUGGAGCUCCCGCCAACUGUUUUGCAACUUUUCUGUUUUUGUCUUGCUGACCCCUAAGCAGGGUGCUUCAGUUCCAGUUUCUGCGACACUGAACACCCCUGGGGGCCUUGCCAUGCUGC